CAGCCGCCGCGGGAACACGAAGGGCGCAAGCGUUAAUCGGAAUUACUGGGCGUAAAGCGUGCGUAGGCGGUGAGUUAAGUCUGCUGUGAAAUCCCCGGGCUUAACCUGGGAACUGCGCUUGUGACUGCACAGCUAGAGUAUGGCAGAGGUGGGUGGAAUUCCACGUGUAGCAGUGAAAUGCGUAGAGAUGUGGAGGAACACCGAUGGCGAAGGCAGCCCCCUGGGCCAAUACUGACGCUCAUGCACGAAAGCGUGGGGAGCAAACAGGAUUAGAUACCCCUGUAGUCCCUGUCUCUUAUAC
rnacentral:rRNA from 1 species